rnacentral:lncRNA from 1 species
GCUUGGUUUACCGUGGAAUAAAUAUGAAGCACUCCCUUUCUUUUCCUUUCCCACAGCAGGAGAAUGUGCCACCUCUGAGCUCCAGGAAAACAUGCUCCCCUAUAUAAUGGAGAAGACAUUUACGUUAGAUCUAGGCUAAUGACCAGGGCUCAGUCGUCAGGCUGGCAGGAGCUGUAAGUAAUGGAAGGACACCUCAGGUGGCAGAUGACAAAGAAAAACUUCUUGCUUCAUUCAAUGAUGAUCCUUCCUUUUGUUUAAGGAGCGAUGUUGGGCUACUGGAUGGCUCAGCAGAUUAGCCGUCGGCUACUGUUUCUUUCAUCUCUAAGUCACCAAUCCAAAUCCAGAGCAAGUCCUCUCCCGUCAGACACCGUGGCCCCAAAUCAUCCCCUGUGAAUGGAGUUACACACCAAGGAUGAAUUUGUACCACAGGAAGUAACUACAUCAGGUUUACUACAUGAAAGUCAGCUCUGAUAAAGAGAAUGGUAAAUACUGAUAAAGAGCCCACGGCCUAUGUUCCUGCAUUUGGAGAGUACCCGCAUAAAAAUAAUUUAACCAUAAUCCUCCCCCAUAUUCUGCUCAGGCAAAAGCUGGUAUCUCGGGCCUUGUAGCAUGCCCUCAAAUUCAGGCUCUGAUGGACCAGCUUGAGAAAUGGUCUCCCAAGUCAAGGAUCCUUCAGAUAAAACAUCCUGACCCAAGACUUUUACAUAUGGCAGUGUCAGGACCCAAGACUUUUAAAUAAGGCAGUGUCAGCUGGGCACCUCAGCUGAUUCCAGCCCUUCUAGAGGCAUCAAGAAAGCCAGGUCUCCCACAUGGGCUGUGUAGUCUGAUGGAUAGCAUUAGAGCUGGGAGUCAGGAGAGCUAGGUUCUAUUCAUGACUCUGCUACAGAAUCAUGGUGUGGCCGUUGGCAAAUCACUUCCCCUGCAUGUGCGUCAGUUUCUGCAUCUGUAAAAUGAUGGUAAUUAUCCUUAAUCUCCUUUGUAACCCACUCUGAGAUCCUCAGAGGAAAAGCCAAAUAAAAAUGCUGUGUAUCAUUAUUAUCA